rnacentral:tRNA from 1 species
UCCCUGGUAGUCCAGUGGAUAAGACCCUGUGCUCUGAAUGUAGGGGGUCCAGGUUCGAUCCCUGGUCAGGGAA